rnacentral:lncRNA from 1 species
AUUAUAAAAUAAAAUAAAAUAUCUAAGAAAAGAAUAGGACUUUAUUAGGUAUUCUAUAAAGUUCUAGUGAUCUAAUUCUUAUUAUAGCUAGUCAAACUUAUUUUUUAAUAUAAUAUUUCUUUUGGCAAUCAUGCUCAUUAUUUUUUUAUUAUAUUUCAUUUUUGGAGAAUGUUAAAUAAUAUACUUAUAUUAUCCACAAUAUAAGUACAAUCUUUUUUAACCACAUUGAGUCUUUU